rnacentral:tmRNA from 1 species
GGGGCUGACUUGGAUUUCGACAGAUUUCUUGUCGCACAGAUAGCAUGCCAAGUGCUACUUGUAAAACAGCAACAAAAAUAACUGUAAACAACGCAGAUUACGCUCCAGCUUACGCUAAAGCUGCGUGAGUUAAUCUCCUUUUGGAGCUGGACUGAUUGAAAUUUCUAGCGUUUUAAUCACUCCAUAACCUUAAGCUAGACGCUUUUAAAAGGUGGUUCGCCUUUUAAAAUAAGAAACAAGAACUCUUGAAACUACCUCAAGGUUUUAGAAAGUUGGACCAGAGCUAGUUUUAAGGCUAAAAAACUAACCAAUUUUCUAAGCAUUGUAGAAGUUUGUGUUUAGGGCAAGAUUUUUGGACUGGGGUUCGAUUCCCCACAGCUCCACCA